UACGGAGGGUGCAAGCGUUGUUAGGAAAUACUGGGCGUAAAGAGCGCGCAGGCGGUUUGCUAAGUCAGAUGUGAAAGCCCAUGGCUCAACCAUGGAAGUGCAUUUGAAACUGGCAGACUUGAGUAGUGGAGGGGGUGGUGGAAUUCCCGGUGUAGAGGUGAAAUUCGUAGAUAUCGGGAGGAAUACCGGUGGCGAAGGCGACCACCUGGCCACAUACUGACGCUGAGGCGCGAAAGCGUGGGGAGCAAACAGG
rnacentral:rRNA from 1 species